UUCUCUCUCUUCUCACAGCACUUUGUCUCUCUUCUCUCUGUUUUCUCUCCUCUUAACUGAAACUCUCUCAAACCCUAACUUUUUCUAAGCCAAAAUCCUUGAUUUUGAGUAAGUUUUUGUGAAAACUAAUCAAUUCUAAAACAUCUAAAUUAUAUAAUCACAGAUUUUUUAAAUUUGUUUGUCAAUUUUUAUUCUCAGAUCUAUAAAUUUUUUAUUUUUGAUCAAAUCAUAGAUUUCUCUGUAAAAUCACUUUGUUUAAAUCGUUUUUGAUCACUAAGAUUAAGUUACUACCGAUCAGUUUAGCUUCAGCCGUCCAUUUUUUUAAUCCUCUCAAACUCUAAUUUUAUUUCUACAAAAAUCUUUGAGUUCUAAACCAUUUUUGCUAAAUUAAUCGAUUUAACUACCUCUAAAUCAU
rnacentral:lncRNA from 1 species